AGCAUGCACCCUGGAUUGUGGCUGUUCCUGGUUUCCUUAUGCCUCACCAAAGAACUGGCAGAAGCGGGACAGAAGAUGUCCUAUGGAAAUCCAUGUGGGAGCCAAGAUUGCAGUGGAGGCUGUACAUGCUCCCCUGAGAAAGGAGCAAG